UACAGAGGGGGCAAGCGUUGUUCGGAAUUACUGGGCGUAAAGGGCGCGUAGGCGGCCUUCUAAGUCGAACGUGAAAUCCCCGGGCUCAACCCGGGAACUGCGUCCGAUGCUGGAAGGCUUGAAUCCGGGAGAGGGAUGUGGAAUUCCAGGUGUAGUGGUGAAAUGCGUAGAUAUCGGGAGGAACACCAGUGGCGAAGGCGACUACCUGGCCUGUUCUUGACGCUGAGGCGCGAAAGCUAGGGGAGCAAACGGG
rnacentral:rRNA from 1 species